rnacentral:lncRNA from 1 species
AGAAAAAGGAGAAAACUCUAAAAUAACGGUAAGAAUGGGAGUGGAAUGGUAGAACACUAACCUAGCAUGUAAGAGAUCCCAGGUUCAGUCCCCUGUAACUGGAGUGAAAGACAGUUGUAAGCCACCAUGUGAGUGCUAGGGAUUGAACCCGGGUCCUCUAGAAGAGCAGUCAGUACUCUUAACCAGUGAACCAUCUCUCCAGCCCAUGUCUAUGACAUUUUAAAGGAAUAUUUUAGUAAAUUUUUUUCUAAGUAGGAAGAACAAACGACUUGAUACUGUUGUAAAGUUACUCCAGAAUUGUUGUAUCUAUCAGUGGUUUUGGGUCAGAAACCUAAGGACUUAAAGAGGAGAGAUUUCGGAUGAACUUUUGCCUCUGACAACAUAGCCAUUUGCAAAGCUGUACUCUUGUAGACUUUUUCCUAUCUGGUUAUGUCAAAAUUCCCAAUAAUGCUCAAUUUGCCAACUUCAAACUAACAGCAAUUGAAGGUCUGGAAGGAAACAAGUAGAUGACAUGAUGAAUGCAGGGCAUCUCAGCAAGGAGGGAGAGCAAAGUAUCUCCUGAAGACGAAAUGUUUC